GGAUGGGGGGGCACGGGGGAAACUGGGGGAACUGGGGAAACGGGGGGAACUGGGGAAACGGGGACGCGGAGGGGUAACCGGGGGAAGACGGGGAAGUGGGGUGCAGGGAAGUUUGCGUGGGGUGGGCCAAGGAUCACCUUGGACAUCUGGAGCCUGGCAGGAGCGGACUCACAGAGGGGCUGGCUUGGGGAGGGCCGCGGGGCGCCCGGGAGCCUUUUGGGGAUCAUUUUUUGCUCCCGGGCGCCCCGCAGGCCGGGUAACAUCUGCGUGGGAGGGUGAAAGACCCAAGCUAGCAGCGCGGAGAAGAAGAGGGGGGAGCCAGGCAUUCAUCCCGGUCAAUUUUGGUUUCAGAUCGUGGCGACUGGUGGACAGGGGUCUUGACAGAGGCUCGCCCUGGGGCUGGGGCAGCGGAGGCGUAGCUGGCAGCCGUGGGCAGGUGAAGACAGCGCUCUGCCGGCCAGCCACGUCUCCAGUGGGGUGUUGGUGCCUGCCAGCCACGGAGGCCGGGCGGCCAGGACGCGCACAGAGGGAUAUGAUAUGGUCCGGUGUGAUGGAGAGAGCAGGCGGGACCGUCCAGCCUCCCAGGACACUGGCCCCGCGGGGAGCCCGGAUAUCGACGUUCCUUUAG
rnacentral:lncRNA from 1 species